UAUGGCUCAGAUUGAACGCUGGCGGCAGGCCUAACACAUGCAAGUCGAGCGGAAACGAGUUAUCUGAACCUUCGGGGAACGAUAACGGCGUCGAGCGGCGGACGGGUGAGUAAUGCCUGGGAAAUUGCCCUGAUGUGGGGGAUAACCAUUGGAAACGAUGGCUAAUACCGCAUAAUGCCUUCGGGCCAAAGAGGGGGACCUUCGGGCCUCUCGCAUCAGGAUAUGCCCAGGUGGGAUUAGCUAGUUGGUGAGGUAAUGGCUCACCAAGGCGACGAUCCCUAGCUGGUCUGAGAGGAUGAUCAGCCACACUGGAACUGAGACACGGUCCAGACUCCUACGGGAGGCAGCAGUGGGGAAUAUUGCACAAUGGGCGCAAGCCUGAUGCAGCCAUGCCGCGUGUAUGAAGAAGGCCUUCGGGUUGUAAAGUACUUUCAGUCGUGAGGAAGGUUCAUACGUUAAUAGCGUAUGGAUUUGACGUUAGCGACAGAAGAAGCACCGGCUAACUCCGUGC
rnacentral:rRNA from 1 species